UGGGGAAUAUUGCACAAUGGGCGCAAGCCUGAUGCAGCCAUGCCGCGUGUGUGAAGAAGGCCUUCGGGUUGUAAAGCACUUUCAGCGGGGAGGAAGGCGAUAAGGUUAAUAACCUUGUCGAUUGACGUUACCCGCAGAAGAAGCACCGGCUAACUCCGUGCCAGCAGCCGCGGUAAUACGGAGGGUGCAAGCGUUAAUCGGAAUUACUGGGCGUAAAGCGCACGCAGGCGGUCUGUCAAGUCGGAUGUGAAAUCCCCGGGCUCAACCUGGGAACUGCAUUCGAAACUGGCAGGCUAGAGUCUUGUAGAGGGGGGUGGAAUUCCAGGUGUAGCGGUGAAAUGCGUAGAGAUCUGGAGGAAUACCGGUGGCGAAGGCGGCCCCCUGGACAAAGACUGACGCUCAGGUGCGAAAGCGUGGGGAGCAGACAGGAUUAGAUACCCUGGUAGUCCACGCUGUAAACGAUGUCGAUUUGGAGGUUGUGCCCUUGAGGCGUGGCUUCCGGAGCUAACGCGUUAAAUCGACCGCCUGGGGAGUACGGCCGCAAGGUUA
rnacentral:rRNA from 1 species